AUGGCUGGAAGCAAUGCCACUGGUGUGACAGAAUUCAUUCUCUUGGGGUUUGCAGUCCAGCGAGAGGUAGAAAUCAUUCUCUUUCUGAUCAUUCUAGUGAUCUACACUCUGACUUUAGUGGGAAAUGUAGGGAUGAUUUCACUAAUCAGUAUGGAUUCUAGACUUUCACACUCCCAUGUACUUUUUCCUCAGUAAUCUGGCUUUUGUAGACCUUUGCUAUUCCUCUUCAGUAGCCCCCAAGUUCCUGGAGACUCUCCUCAGUAACAGAAGGUCUAUAUCUUUCUAUGCCUGUGCAACCCAACUCGGUUUUUUUCUGAACUUUUUGAUUUCAGAGGUGUUUCUCCUUGCAGUAAUGGCUUAUGACCGCUAUGUGGCCAUUUGUAAUCAUCUUCUGUACAUGGUGGUCAUGUCCCAGAAGGUAUGCCUACGACUUGUAAUGGGCCCUUAUUUUUACAGCUUUGCUGUUGCUUUGCUCCACACAGUAGUUACUUUCAAACUGAUUUACUGUGGCCCCAAUAUAAUCAAUCACUUUUAUUGUGAUGAUGUCCCUUUGAUGGCUCUUGCCUGCUCAGACACCAGCCUCAAGGAGAUUUUAAUAUUCAUUUUGCUGGAUUCAACAUGAUCAGUUCUUUGACCACUGUCCUGAUUUCUUACUUAUACAUUGUGGCUGCUAUCUUAAGAAUCCAGUCCACAGAAGGAAGGUACAAAGCCUUCUCAACAUGUGCUUCCCAUCUGACUGCUGUGACUAUAUUCUAUGGGACACUCAUUUUCAUGUAUCUGCAGCCAAAAUCAAGCCACUCUCUCGACACAGACAAAAUGGCCUCAGUAUUCUACACAAUUGUCAUUCCCAUGCUCAAUCCUAUGAUCUAUAGCUUAAGGAACCAGGAGGUAAAGAGUGCUCUCAGGAAAGCUCUUGAAAAAUGCU
rnacentral:lncRNA from 1 species